rnacentral:snRNA from 1 species
UAUCUGUUCUAAUCAGUGUGAAAACUGGUUUUCGCCUUUUGGCGGACUUUUUCACUCGCAUUUUUGGGCAAUCGUCUGCGGCUAGCUUGCUAGCGGCGGACGAGCGGUCUCCGGGGGCGUACACCUUUCCCCCGCGAGGCCA